UAAUUUGGUCAAAGCGGUGCUGAUCCCACCAUAGAGAAAUACAGCAGUUCCGGAUUAGAACGUGGGAUCUACGUGUGCGUCCCCAAGAAUCUGGACGUUUCUCCACUAUCUCCGCCUACAUCUGCCUCCCCCCAAAUCUUCUUCCCGGUAGCAUCCUCUCCGGCCUUGGCUGUUUUCCACGCUCGCGCCGCGCUUCACCGGCUGGCACGGGCUGCCGCGCGACCUUCACCCUGCGCGCUGGCCAGCCGGCCGCCCCUGCGCGUUCCUCGCGCCGCCUGCGCCGCGGGGCCGACAACGGUGCUGGAGGCAGGAAGAGGGCCUCCACGGGGCUGCCAGCAGGGUCAGCGGCCUCCUCUAUGGUAGAGACGGCGGGGCAUGCUGCUGCGGCGUCAUCUCUUAUCCCCGGCAAAGCCGGCGACCUCCUCAACAAUGAGUCGGCAGGAAGGCUGCUGCUGCUUCAUCCAUGGCAGUCUCCACGGGGAUCCCGCCGCGGUGAAUGCGUGGUGGAUGGGCGAGCUGCUUCUGUUGGUUCAUCGAAGGUAGGCGCGGAUCCCGCACAAGUGAACGCCUGGUGCAAGGGUGCGGCUGUGCGGGAGCCCUUUCUUUUUGUCUCUCCUUGCUGAUCUAUUUCCUUAUCAUUACCCCUCUAAUUGUCCUCAGAUAUGUCCGUUUUGAUUAUUACCUUUGCCUCUUUGUGUGAUAUUGUUCGUCUCAUUGUUUUGUUUCAACCAUGGGAUAAAAUAUCAUUUCCAAGCUAUUAGAUGUGAGAAGAUACUUAAUCAUUAGGAAGCAAAGCUGGAGAUGGUUAAUUCGUUUUUGUGUUUUAGAUGACCCUAUUUGACAUAAAUUUACCAAAACUUUGAGUCAAAAGACGGGAAGAGGAGGGAGGUAACAGUGUGUGUGCCGGCAGAGGAGGUGACAGGAAAGAGUGCCGCUGAUGAUGGCAUGGUGAGGGGCGACGAGAUGGAGGUGGUCUUUGGCAUGGUAGCACAUCAAGAUGCGACGCCCGCUCCUAUCCGUUUGUUGUUCUAUCCGAUGAGAUGCUCACAUGCGAGAGAUCUGUCCUAGCAAGAACCCGGUAGGGCUAGGCUGCUCUGAUGGUACUGCUCUCCUCUUUACCCUUUGCAUUCCUGCUGUUGUUACUGAUUGAGCCACCCUACUUUCAUUUAUUUCUGUGACUUGCAUGCAGAUUCGUCAGGAUGGAUAUUGUGUGGGUGGGCAUUAAAACUUCCCCAGUUAUUCAGAACUAAAUUCUUGGAUGUUAACCCGUCGUAUUUCUCGGGUUAUUUAGCGAGCUCUGUACAUCUAUGUCCUCUUUUUCGGCCAGAGCCCCUUUCCCUGUCUUUCCACUGGAACAUUAUCAAAUUAGCGUUUACAGCUAAUGGUAAGGUUCUACAUACCAAAGUAACUAUACCUUCUACUGGAUCAAGCCAAGACAGAAUUCAUUAGAGAUAAUAUUAUUGUUAAGAAGCCGAACGAUGCAAAGGCCAAACGAUGCUGGACUAGAGUUGCCUGAUCUGAUAGACAUGGUAUGCAAGAGCAUGCCUGAUGCCCAACAAAAAGAAAUGAGGAAACGUCUGUGGAGGACGAUAGAUAGUUCGAACUCAAGAUAUUUUGCAGGCUAUGUGAGAAGAAUAGCUUGACUUGAGAAGUGCAUAUCUCAAAUGAGCAAGGCAAAACUAUUAAAGUUGUAGUGAUUUGGAUAAGUUCUGAAGCUAUAGUUCCUACAGAAGCUCAGCUUUAUGGUGUGGUCUCAAGGAUAAUUUCUAGGAGAGGGAUGAAAACCAUUGAGCACGAUGAAAAUGGAGAACAAACUUUAAAGACAAGAAACAUAAGUGUACAAAGAGGUGCAUGAUAAUCUCCGGACGAUAUAAGUCAAUAAUCAGAACUAUGUUCAAGGCCUCGGCCCGAAGCUGAUGCAACUGAUGGGUACAGAUUUUCGGUGCUUAAACGAUCUAUGAGUAAUAGAUCCCUUGCAAACAUAAUAGACUUAGGCUAGACAGAAUAACCAUAUACACAAGUGUUCUCUUUUCUGUACUUUUUUAGCUAUGCUCUGUAUUCUGUGUUGUUGUACAUGGCUGUAGAGAACAAGUAUAUCAGGAUUCUCCCUUUCUUUUUUUU